UUACUUUUUAGGCUGUAUGUGAUCAUACUUUACGGUUCACGGACAUUCUAUCCGGAUGGCCUGGGUCUGUACAUGACGCAAGAGUCUUCAAAAAUUCACCCCUUUAUGAAGCCAGCUGCAGUGAAAACCUUUUUCCUGGCGAUACACAUAUUGUUGGAGAUGCAGCAUAUCCACUGCAAAGUUGGAUUUUAACACCGUACAAAGAUACGGGGAAUCUGGCAGAGUGUCAGAAAAGAUAUAACUCCAUACAUGCCAACACUCGCCAAACGAUUGAAAGAGCCUUUGGUUUGUUGAAAGGAAAAUGGAGGAGGCUGAGAUUCCUGGAGAUGACCAAACUUGAAGAUGCCCCAUGUGUUAUAACAGCAGCCUGUACACUUCACAAUAUGUGCAUAGAGAACAAUGAGAAUGACCUGGACAUGUGCAGUGAUACCAGUACCUUUCCUGAUGCUCCAGCUGUGAGUGAGCCUUUGAACCAGAGUGGAUCAGUAAAACGGAAUGCCCUAGCCCAGUAUUUCUGGUCUACCAACCGAUAUUAAAUUCAACGAAAUAAAGAAAACAAUGCUAAAUUUACAAA